rnacentral:rRNA from 1 species
UGGGGAAUAUUGGACAAUGGGCGCAAGCCUGAUCCAGCAAUGCCGCGUGUGUGAAGAAGGCCUUCGGGUUGUAAAGCACUUUUAUCAGGAGCGAAACGCUGUCGGCUAAUACCCGGCGGAACUGACGGUACCUGAGGAAUAAGCACCGGCUAACUUCGUGCCAGCAGCCGCGGUAAUACGAAGGGUGCAAGCGUUAAUCGGAAUUACUGGGCGUAAAGCGUGCGUAGGCGGUUUCUUAAGUCUGCUGUGAAAUCCCCGGGCUCAACCUGGGAAUGGCAGUGGAUACUGGGAGGCUAGAGUGUGUCAGAGGGUGGUGGAAUUCCCGGUGUAGCGGUGAAAUGCGUAGAGAUCGGGAGGAACAUCAGUGGCGAAGGCGGCCACCUGGGACAACACUGACGCUGAGGCACGAAAGCGUGGGGAGCAAACAGGAUUAGAUACCCUGGUAGUCCACGCCCUAAACGAUGCGAACUGGAUGUUGGUCUCAACUCGGAGAUCAGUGUCGAAGCUAACGCGUUAAGUUCGCCGCCUGGGGGAGUACGGUCGCAAGACC